rnacentral:sRNA from 1 species
AGCAGCCGCGGUAAUUCCAGCUCCAAUAGCGUAUAUUAAAGUUGUUGCAGUUAAAAAGCUCGUAGUUGAAUUUCGGGGUCAGUAGGUUGGUCGUGCCACAGGUAUGCACUGGUCUCACUGAUUCCUCCUUCCUGAUGAACCGUAAUGCCAUUAAUUUGGUGUUGCGGGGAGACUGGACUGUUACUUUGAAAAAAUUAGAGUGUUUAAAGCAGGCUAACGCUUGAAUACAUUAGCAUGGAAUAACGGAAUAGGACGUUCGAUCUUAUUUUGUUGGUUUCUAAGAUUGACGUAAUGAUUAAUAGGGAUAGUUGGGGGCAUUAGUAUUCAAUUGUCAGAGGUGAAAUUCUUGGAUUUAUUGAAGACUAACUACUGCGAAAGCAUUUGCCAAGGAUGUUUUCAUUAAUCAAGAACGAAAGUUGGGGGCUCGAAGACGAUCAGAUACCGUCCUAGUCUCAACCAUAAACGAUGCCGACCAGGGAUCGGCGGAUGUUGCUUUUAGGACUCCGCCGGCACCUUCCGG